rnacentral:ncRNA from 2 species
GUUUUCCUUCGGGGCAGGGUGAAAAUCCCUACCGGCGGUGAUGAGAUGAUCUCUCUUAGCCCGUGACCCGUCUUGUGUCAAGACGGUGGAUUUGGUGAAAUUCCAAAGCCGACAGUUAUAGUCUGGAUGGGAGAAGGAAACU